rnacentral:rRNA from 1 species
GAUGAACGCUGGCGGCGUGCCUAAUACAUGCAAGUCGAGCGAACAGAUAAGGAGCUUGCUCCUUUGACGUUAGCGGCGGACGGGUGAGUAACACGUGGAUAACCUACCUAUAAGACUGGGAUAACUUCGGGAAACCGGAGCUAAUACCGGAUAACAUAUUGAACCGCAUGGUUCAAUAGUGAAAGGCGGCUUUGCUGUCACUUAUAGAUGGAUCCGCGCCGUAUUAGCUAGUUGGUAAGGUAACGGCUUACCAAGGCAACGAUACGUAGCCGACCUGAGAGGGGGAUCGGCCACACUGGAACUGAGACACGGUCCAGACUCCUACGGGAGGCAGCAGUAGGGAAUCUUCCGCAAUGGGCGAAAGCCUGACGGAGCAACGCCGCGUGAGUGAUGAAGGUCUUCGGAUCGUAAAACUCUGUUAUCAGGGAAGAACAAAUGUGUAAGUAACUGUGCACAUCUUGUCGGUACCUGAUCAGAAAGCCACGGCUAACUACGUG